AGGACGAACGCUGGCGGCGUGGAUUAGGCAUGCAAGUCGGACGGUAGGGCUUUAUCGUAAGAUAGAGUUUGAGAGUGGCGAACGGGUGAGUAACACGUAGGAAUCUACCCUUAAGACGGGGACAACCCAGGGAAACUUGGGCUAAUACCGGAUGAGAGUGCGAGAGAUUGCAUUUAAAAGGAUGGCGAAAGUUGUCGCUUAGGGAUGAGCCUGCGGUCUAUUAGUUAGUUGGUGAGGUAAGAGCUCACCAAGGCGAUGAUAGAUAGGCGGCCUUAACGGGUGGUCGCCCACACUGGGAUUGAGAUACGGCCCAGACUCCUACGGGAGGCAGCAGUGGGGAAUAUUGGGCAAUGGGCGAAAGCCUGACCCAGCGACGCCGCGUGGGUGAUGAAGGCCUUCGGGUUGUAAAACCCUUUCGUGCGGAAAGAAUAGUCCUGUAGCGAAUAACUACGGGAUUUGACGGUACCGCAGGAAGAAGCACCGGCUAACUCCGUG
rnacentral:rRNA from 1 species